UGCAGAGGUCUUGAAAGAAUUCACCUGCUUCUCUAUUCCAAUCUUGGCCUGUUGGUGAAUGCAGCCAUACUCCUCCUACCAUCGGUCUUCAAAGGAAAUGCAUCACAGCUCUUUGCAAUAGAUAAGGAACCACUAAGCCCAAC